rnacentral:rRNA from 1 species
AAUGAACGCUGGCGGCGUGCCUAAUACAUGCAAGUCGUGCGGCAGCAUGCCCUUCGGGGUGAUGGCGAGCGGCGGACGGCUGAGUAACGCGUAGGAAUCUACCCCAAAGUGAGGGAUAACCUCGAGAAAUCGAGGCUAAUACCACAUGUGAUCUUCGGAUUAAAGGAUUUAUCCGCUUUGGGAAGAGCCUGCGUAAGAUUAGCUUGUUGGUGAGGUAAUGGCUCACCAAGGCGACGAUCUUUAGCUGGUCUGAGAGGAUGACCAGCCAGACUGGAACUGAGACACGGUCCAGACUCCUACGGGAGGCAGCAGUAAGGAAUCUUCCACAAUGGGCGAAAGCCUGAUGGAGCAACGCCGCGUGCAGGAUGAAGGCCUUCGGGUCGUAAACUGCUUUUAUAAGUGAGGAAUAUGACGGUAACUUAUGAAUAAGGAUCGGCUAACUCCGUGCCAGCAGCCGCCGCAG